CAGGCACUCUGCCUCCUGCCUUCUUCUAGGUUAGAGGGGGAAAAAAAGAUCCUUCAGCAGCUAAGGUGAAGAUACCAUUCAGGAUGCUGAAAUGGGACCUGGAAUACUCCUUAUUCCUUUUAAGGAAGAAAAGAUUACAAAAAUGGACACCGAAGUGGUAAGAAAAUUUUCUAAGGCUACAUGGCUGUUAGUAGCAUUUCAGAAAGAAGAAUACUGGUCCUCCUAUUACAAAUGCAAUGAACUUUCCGUGAGACCAUUCCAUGCUUAAUUAAAAGCAUGAAUCCCAGGAAUUUUGUCAGGAACUUCCUAGAGGUAGACUGGUAAAAUAAAGUGUGUGGCUCUCAA